UUGGAGGGCAAGUCUGGUGCCAGCAGCCGCGGUAAUUCCAGCUCCAAUAGCGUAUAUUAAAGUUGUUGCAGUUAAAAAGCUCGUAGUUGAAUUUUAGACUUGGCCGGGCGGUCCGUCUUUGACGAGUACUGUUCCGUUGUCGGGUCUUCCUUCUGGUGAACCAGCAUGUCCUUAAUUGGGUGUGUUGGGGAGCCAGGACCAUUACCUUGAAAAAAUUAGAGUGUUUAAAGCGGGCUAUUGCUUGAAUAGAUUAGCAUGGAAUAAUAGAAUAGGACGUUGUGGUUCUAUUUUGUUGGUUUCUAGGACCACCGUAAUGAUUAAUAGGGAUAGUUGGGGGCAUUAGUAUUCAAUUGUCAGAGGUGAAAUUCUUGGAUUUAUUGAAGACUAACUAUUGCGAAAGCAUUUGCCAAGGAUGUUUUCAUUAAUCAAGAACGAAAGUUAGGGGAUCGAAGACGAUCAGAUACCGUCGUAGUCUUAACCAUAAACUAUGCCGACUAGGAAUCGGGCGACGUUAUUUUCACGACUCGCUCGGCGCCUUACGGGAAAC
rnacentral:rRNA from 1 species